GUCAACAAGUUUUUGGCGCCAUUGCCGGGGACUCGAGGUUUAUUUGUCUUGUAGUGUGAAUUGAUUGAAUUUGACUUAAUUAUAAUUAUUUUUGUUUUUAUUUUUCUUUUGUUGCAUUUUGUCUUAUUUUCUUUAAAAGUGCUUUUAGGGUGUGUUUCUUGUGCAUGCAGGAGACAAUACAUACUAGAAGCAGGAAAAACCAACAACCUUUGCUAGAAGGUCUACCAUACGAGAAGAGGAACAGACGCCCUUUUUGUAAAAGAUCUAUUUCUCUAGAAGUUACUCCACCUGAG
rnacentral:lncRNA from 1 species